rnacentral:tRNA from 1 species
GACUCGGUGGCGCAACGGUAGCGCGUCUGACUCCAGAUCAGAAGGUGUCGCGUUCGAAUCACGUCCGGGUCA